AGCAGCCGCGGUAAUUCCAGCUCCAAUAGCGUAUAUUAAAGUUGUUGCAGUUAAAAAGCUCGUAGUUGAAUUUCGGGACCAUCAUGUCGGUCGUGCCUCGGUACGUACUGGCAUUGUUGGUUUCUCCCUUCUGACGAACCAUGAUGUCAUUUAUUUGGUGUUGUGGGAAAUCAGGACUGUUACUUUGAAAAAUUAGAGUGUUUAAAGCAGGCUCACGCUUGAAUACAUUAGCAUGGAAUAAUGAAAUAGGACGUUUGAUUCUAUUUUGUUGGUUUCUAGGAUCGACGUAAUGAUUAAUAGGGAUAGUUGGGGGCAUUAGUAUUCAAUUGUCAGAGGUGAAAUUCUUGGAUUUAUUGAAGACUAACUACUGCGAAAGCAUUUGCCAAGGAUGUUUUCAUUAAUCAAGAACGAAAGUUAGGGGAUCGAAGACGAUCAGAUACCGUCGUAGUCUUAAC
rnacentral:rRNA from 1 species